rnacentral:rRNA from 1 species
AUUGAACGCUGGCGGCAGGCCUAACACAUGCAAGUCGAGCGGAUGAAGGGAGCUUGCUCCUGGAUUCAGCGGCGGACGGGUGAGUAAUGCCUAGGAAUCUGCCUGGUAGUGGGGGAUAACGUCCGGAAACGGGCGCUAAUACCGCAUACGUCCUGAGGGAGAAAGUGGGGGAUCUUCGGACCUCACGCUAUCAGACGAGCCUAGGUCGGAUUAGCUAGUUGGUGGGGUAAAGGCCUACCAAGGCGACGAUCCGUAACUGGUCUGAGAGGAUGAUCAGUCACACUGGAACUGAGACACGGUCCAGACUCCCACGGGAGGCAGCAGUGGGGAAUAUUGGACAAAGGGCGAAAGCCUGAUCCAGCCAUGCCGCGUGUGUGAAGAAGGUCUUCGGAUUGUAAAGCACUUUAAGUUGGGAGGAAGGGCAGUAAGUUAAUACCUUGCUGUUUUGACGUUACCAACAGAAUAAGCACCGGCUAACUUCGUG